UGGAAGUGCCAUGUUCCUGCGAAAGGGCCCUCAGUCACUUGGGCUAGCUUGCUUUGAACCACACGGGGUUUUUUGUGAAUCAAGGGAUAGAUGCCUGUUCACCUUAUAGGAAGCUGUGAAAUGGGAUACUGAGUACUGAGUUCCCCGUGUUUUUGAUGAUUCAGCAGCAACAUGGAAAGUGCUAGACUCACAGCAGGUGUCUGAAUCUGAGAACAUACCCUUGACCUCCAAGAUGGUAUAGAAGCAGCACGUCCAAAGUAGGAUAGACUCACCACCACGUUCAGCCUGAUCCACACACAUCGUGACUCGUAAGGCUGGAAGAAAUCAUAGGGCCCCUUCAUCUUUUUCCAAAGACCAACCAAGACCAAGUUCUGGCUUCUCUCCCAAUGAGAGCCCAGGCUCUUUCCUCAUUGGCUUUCAAUCCUGAGGGUCAGGCUUCCUCAACCUUCUCUGCAUAAAGAUAUUCAUGCAUUUGCUUUACUCAUUAAUGUCUGAUUAAGAUUAUCUCUGAUUAA